GUCUAUGUUCCUUGGAACAGGACGUCACAGAGGGUGAGAAUCCCGUGCGAUGAGAUGUCCAACUCUAUGUAAAGUGCUUUCGAAGAGUCGAGUUGUUUGGGAAUGCAGCUCUAAGUGGGUGGUAAAUUCCAUCUAAAGCUAAAUAUUGGCGAGAGACCGAUAGCGAACAAGUACAGUGAUGGAAAGAUGAAAAGAACUUUGAAAAGAGAGUGAAAAAGUACGUGAAAUUGUUGAAAGGGAAGGGUUUGAGAUCAGACUUGGUAUUUUGUAUGUCUUGCUUUCGGGUGGGGCCUCUGCAGUUUACUGGGCCAGCAUCGGUUUGGACGGUAGGAUAAUGACAUUGGAAUG
rnacentral:rRNA from 1 species